rnacentral:rRNA from 1 species
CUAAUACAUGCAAGUCGAGCGAAUGGAUUAAGAGCUUGCUCUUAUGAAGUUAGCGGCGGACGGGUGAGUAACACGUGGGUAACCUGCCCAUAAGACUGGGAUAACUCCGGGAAACCGGGGCUAAUACCGGAUAACAUUUUGAACCGCAUGGUUCGAAAUUGAAAGGCGGCUUCGGCUGUCACUUAUGGAUGGACCCGCGUCGCAUUAGCUAGUUGGUGAGGUAACGGCUCACCAAGGCAACGAUGCGUAGCCGACCUGAGAGGGUGAUCGGCCACACUGGGACUGAGACACGGCCCACACUCCUAUCGGAAGGCAGCAUUAGGGAAUCUUCCGCAAUGGACGAAAGUCUGACGGAGCACCGCCGCUUGAGUGAUGAAGGCUUUCGGGCCGUAAAACUCUGUUGUUAGGGAAGAACAAUUGCUAUUUGAAUAGCUGGCACCUUAACGGUACUAACCAAAAAGC